GGCCGCGUGGCCUAAUGGCUAAGGCGUCAGAUUUCGGUACACCGGAACCAUCUCUCUGAAGACUCCAGGUUCGACUCCUGGCGUGGUCG
rnacentral:tRNA from 1 species